rnacentral:rRNA from 1 species
AGAGUUUGAUCAUGGCUCAGGAUGAACGUUGGCGGCGUGCCUAAUACAUGCAAGUCGAACGGAGAUUGUAGCAAUACGGUCUCAGUGGCGAACGGGUGAGUAACGCGUUGGUGACCUGCCCCGAAGUGUGGAAUAACAGAUCGAAAGAGCUGCUAAUACCGCAUAAUAUCCAGAGGACUAGAUGCCUUUGGAUUAAAGGAUUUAUUCGCUUCGGGAGGGGCCUGCGUCCCAUCAGCUAGUUGGUAAGGUAAAGGCUUACCAAGGCUAUGACGGGUAGGGGACCUGAGAGGGUGGCCCCCCACAAUGGAACUGAAACACGGUCCAUACACCUACGGGUGGCAGCAGUAGGGAAUAUUAGUAAUGGGCGAAAGCCUGAACUAGCAACGCCGCGUGUGCGAAGAAGGCCUUCGGGUUGUAAAGCACUUUUUGAGAGGAUGAGGAAGGACGGUACUCUCAGAAUAAGUCUCGGCUAACUACGUGCCAGCAGCCGCGGUAACACGUAGGAGGCGAACGUUAUCCGGAUUUACUGGGCGUAAAGCGCGUGUAGGUGGUUUGGUAAGUAGGGCGUGAAAGCUCCUGGCUCAACUGGGAGAGGCCGUUCUAAACUGCCGAACUAGAGGAUGGUAGAGGGAGGUGGAAUUCCGGGUGUAGCGGUGGAAUGCGCAGAUAUCCGGAGGAACACCAGUGGCGAAAGCGGCCUCCUGGACCACUCCUGACACUCAGACGCGAAAGCUAGGGUAGCAAACGGGAUUAGAGACCCCGGUAGUCCUAGCCCUAAACGAUGUAGACUUGGCGU